rnacentral:pre_miRNA from 1 species
UGACUGCUAUCGUAGGGCUGUCUCUUCCGCGAGGGAAAUUCUUUCUCAGACCAGUGGUUGUAAGACGAUCGUAGUUGACG